CUAAAGUGAAGUGAAUUCUUGUAAGUGUGUUGGACUUGUGCUGCCUGAACAAAGAGGAAUAAUUCUUUGGAAUUAAAUCUCAACAGUUAAAUUGAUGGUUUCCAAGGAUUAGAUGUUCUUCCGGGUUGUUCUGGUAGUACUCUGAAUAUCCUUGAAAAGGAGAACUGCGAAAAGGAGGAGGAUACAGUUCAUACAGAUGAUGAAUAUACCGAUGAAGAGGAUACAGAUAAUCAGGACACAGAUGAGGAGUGUGCCCUGCAGGAAGCUGUAGAUGUGAGGAAUAAUCGCAUAGCUGCUUUGGUGAAUGAUAAGUUUAAUCAUCUGAAAUUGGAACUGAGUACGUUCCUUGAACAGAAACAAAUGAAUUGCACGGCUGUAGACAAGUCAGAGAUGAGUAGCUUGUAUGACUACAUUGGUAUGGGGGUUGUUAAUGACUAUCCAAAGAGGCUAAAAAUGUUUCCGAAGACGGAAGCUGAACUGGAAAAGGCUGUCUUGCAAGAAUUGGAGAGAAUAGGAGAAAAAGCAAUGUCUACGUGAACACAUAUAUAGCUACGAAUUUGACUAAAAGGACGGCUG